GUCUGGAUGGCAGAGUGGUCUAAGGUUGCUGCGUUAAGAUUACAGUUUCCUCUGGAGGCAUGGGUUCGAAUCCCACUUCUGGUG